rnacentral:rRNA from 1 species
UACGUAGGGGGCGAGCGUUGUCCGGAUUUACUGGGCGUAAAGGGUGAGUAGGCGGUAAUAUGUGUCAGAUGUAAAAGGCUAUGGCUUAACUAUAGUACGCAUUUGAAACUGUAUUACUUGAGUGCAGGAGAGGUAAGUGGAAUUCCUAGUGUAGCGGUGAAAUGCGUAGAUAUUAGGAGGAACACCAGUGGCGAAGGCGACUUACUGGACUGUAACUGACGCUGAGUCACGAAAGCGUGGGUAGCAAACAGG